rnacentral:misc_RNA from 1 species
GAUGAAGAACGUAGCGAAAUGCGAUACGUAGUGUGAAUUGCAGAAUUCAGUGAAUCAUCGAAUCUUUGAACGCACAUUGCACCUCUCGGUAUUCCGGGAGGUAUGCCUGUUCGAGCGUCAUUUGUACCCUCAAGCUCUGCUUGGUGUUGGGUGUUUGUUCCGCCUCUGUGUGUGAACUCGCCUCAAAACAAUUGGCAGCCGGCGUACUUGUUUCGGAGCGCAGCACAUUUUGCGAUCCAGAUCAACGUACAGCGGCAUCCAAGAAGCCUUAUUUAACGCUCUUGACCUCAGAUCAGGUAGGGAUACCCGCUGAACUUAAGCAUAUCAAUAAGCGGAGGA